rnacentral:rRNA from 1 species
UACGUAGGGUGCGAGCGUUAAUCGGAAUUACUGGGCGUAAAGCGUGCGCAGGCGGUUUUGUAAGCCGGAUGUGAAAUCCCCGGGCUUAACCUGGGAAUGGCAUUCGGGACUGCAAGGCUGGAGUGCGGCAGAGGAGACUGGAAUUCCUGGUGUAGCAGUGAAAUGCGUAGAUAUCAGGAGGAACACCGAUGGCGAAGGCAGAUCUCUGGGCCGUAACUGACGCUGAGGAGCGAAAGCAUGGGGAGCGAACAGG